GACGAACGCUGGCGGCGUGCUUAACACAUGCAAGUCGAACGAUGAAGCCGGAGCUUGCUCUGGUGAAUUAGUGGCGAACGGGUGAGUAACACGUGAGUAACCUGCCCUUGACUCUGGGAUAACUGCGGGAAACUGUAGCUAAUACCGGAUACGACCCUCGGAGGCAUCUCCCGGGGGGGGCAAGAAUUUCGGUCAAGGAUGGACUCGCGGCCUAUCAGCUAGUUGGUGAGGUAAAGGCUCACCAAGGCGACGACGGGUAGCCGGCCUGAGAGGGUGACCGGCCACACUGGGACUGAGACACGGCCCAGACUCCUACGGGAGGCAGCAGUGGGGAAUAUUGCACAAUGGGCGCAAGCCUGAUGCAGCAACGCCGCGUGAGGGAUGACGGCCUUCGGGUUGUAAACCUCUUUUAGCAGGGAAGAAGCGAAAGUGACGGUACCUGCAGAAAAAGCACCGGCUAACUACGUGCCAGCCGCCGCCGUAA
rnacentral:rRNA from 1 species